AUUGAACGCUGGCGGCAGGCCUAACACAUGCAAGUCGAACGGUAACAGGAAGCAGCUUGCUGCUUUGCUGACGAGUGGCGGACGGGUGAGUAAUGUCUGGGAAACUGCCCGAUGGAGGGGGAUAACUACUGGAAACGGUAGCUAAUACCGCAUAACGUCGCAAGACCAAAGAGGGGGACCUUAGGGCCUCUUGCCAUCGGAUGUGCCCAGAUGGGAUUAGCUAGUAGGUGGGGUAACGGCUCACCUAGGCGACGAUCCCUAGCUGGUCUGAGAGGAUGACCAGCCACACUAGAACUGAGACACGGUCCAGACUCCUACGGGAGGCAGCAGUGGGGAAUAUUGCACAAUGGGCGCAAGCCUGAUGCAGCCAUGCCGCGUGUAUGAAGAAGGCCUUCGGGUUGUAAAGUACUUUCAGCGGGGAGGAAGGGAGUAAAGUUAAUACCUUUGCUCAUUGACGUUACCCGCAGAAGAAGCACCGGCUAACUACGUG
rnacentral:rRNA from 1 species